rnacentral:misc_RNA from 1 species
GAUGAAGAACGUAGCGAAAUGCGAUACUUGGUGUGAAUUGCAGAAUCCCGUGAACCAUCGAGUCUUUGAACGCAAGUUGCGCCCGAAGCCAUCAGGUUGAGGGCACGUCUGCCUGGGCGUCACAUAUCGUUGCCCAAUGCCUAUUGCAGUGCAAUAGGAAUUUCUAGGGCGAAUGAUGGCUUCCCGUGAGCGUUGUUGCCUCGCGGUUGGUUGAAAAUCGAGUCCUUGGUAGGGUGUGCCAUGGUAGAUGGUGGUCGAGUUAGAACGAUACCGAUCAUGUGCAUGCUCCCCAAAAUAUGGCCGCUAUGACCCACACGCGUCUUUUGACGCUCAUGACGAGACCUCAGGUCAGGCGGGGCUACCCGCUGAAUUUAAGCAUAUCAAUAAGCGGAGGA